AUUUUGGUUAGCAAAAAAAAAUUGUAGUUACAUAAUUCCAAUAAUAGUUUUGUGAAUUAGUACACGGACCAUGUGGUUAGUAGUAGUCAAAUCAUUUUCUUUGAUCGUACGUAGUAGUUGUCAUGAUAAUCCUUUUUUUUUUCAUGAUAAUCCUUGUGUUUGUUUGAAAGGUUUUGAUGUUAACGGGUGCUCCCAGAGAGGCAAUAUAAUCAAUGCAUCUAUUGAGUCGCUAAUUAGUACUAUUAGUGUUCUUGGAAUCUGUCCUUUAUGUAUGUCGGUUGUUGCUAGAUUAUAAUGUGUUUAAGUGUACUCAUCGGCAAAUCA
rnacentral:lncRNA from 1 species